rnacentral:rRNA from 1 species
AACGAACGCUGGCGGCGCGCCUAAUACAUGCAAGUCGAGCGAGAAGACGUAGCAAUACGUUUGUAAAGCGGCGAACGGGUGAGGAAUACAUGGGUAACCUACCCUCGAGUGGGGAAUAACUAGCCGAAAGGUUAGCUAAUACCGCGUACGCUCCUUGGACUUCGGUUCAGGGAGGAAAGCGAUACCGUGGGUAUCGCGCUCUUGGAUGGGCUCAUGUCCUAUCAGCUUGUUGGUGAGGUAACGGCUCACCAAGGCCUCGACGGGUAGCUGGUCUGAGAGGACGAUCAGCCACACUGGCACUGCGACACGGGCCAGACUCCUACGGGAGGCAGCAGUAAGGAAUAUUGCGCAAUGGGCGAAAGCCUGACGCAGCGACGCCGCGUGGGGGAGUGAA